ACGGCUGGUGGUGUGGCUCAGACGGAGCAAGGGUUACAUCAAGGCUGCUCUCUGGACCGUGCAAACAGUCUAGACCAAUGACCUGCAGCAUCAUGCCCUUUGAAGAAGAGGCAAGUUCGGUCAUGAUGAAGAAGAAUCGAGGCGUACCCCCUUUUAACAAUAGGGAGCAGCUCGAGGCUGCAAAGAGGUACUGAUUAUUAAGGUGACUAUAUGAAAGGAUCACUCCAAAAUAACACAUACCAGAAUAGGAGUCCUGUCUUAACUGAGCAAUAUACACUAUGGAGAGAUCCUUCAAAACCCGUCGGGACGAAUAACAGAUGAAUUCAUAAAACUGUUCAUCUCUGUUAUCCUGAAUGGUCACUCAGACAACAUUUUACUCAACUAUAAAGGGGAACACUUAAAGUGCAUAUGAGAAGAGAAGAGAAUGACCACAGGAGAAAAUCAUCUCAGGCCACGAUUUCCUAACCAGAAUCUGUAAGAGAGAUUCCAAGAACUUGGGAGAAGCAUAUUGUGUGAUGUUCUAUAUUUAUGAGACCCAUAGCAAACUGUGAAGAGAUAACAGAAUGCUUUUUGCGUGAGCUGAAACAGUAGAUGAAAUCUUUCAUUAAAAUUACUCAUACUUUGGGUCCUAUUCUUAUUUAUAAAUAAAUAUUAUUGCAAACAUUU
rnacentral:lncRNA from 1 species